AGGGGCAGCACGGUGUAGCAAUACACUGGUGGCGACCGGCGCACGGGUGCGUAACGCGUAUGCAACCUACCCAUAACAGGGGGAUAACACUGAGAAAUCGGUACUAAUAUCCCAUAACAUCAUGAGGGGCAUCCCUUAUGGUUGAAAACUCCGGUGGUUAUGGAUGGGCAUGCGUUGUAUUAGCUGGUUGGUGAGGUAACGGCUCACCAAGGCGACGAUACAUAGGGGGACUGAGAGGUUAACCCCCACAUUGGUACUGAGACACGGACCAAACUCC
rnacentral:rRNA from 1 species